UAUCUGUUACAAAACUGUAUCAAAGUUUCUUCCAAACCCUCACUUCAAUUCCCUAGGAACAGCAAAUCACAACCCUUACAAUAAAAGUUUGGGAGAAUAAGAUUUGCUGUUAUACAGGAUUCCCUAAUAGGACUUCAUCAUGCUAGCAGAUGGACAGAUGAAUUUCCAUCCCUGGGUUCUCGUCCUUCAUUCCUGAAAAACAAAGUCCUGGACCGUCCUGUAGUUAAUAACAUCCUGGGAGGAACAAGCAGCAAGUACCAGGCAGGUAACCUACAUACUCCUGCGGCUUUAAGAAGGAGUGGAUGGGUUUGUGAUACUGAAGACUAGCACAGGAAAAGCAGAAUAACCAGAAAUACAGACAGGAAACAUCUCAUGAAUUUGCUUCUUAAAGUACAUUUCUACUUCUCUGUGUGUCUGAAAGGAUGAAGACUUGAAAACUUCACUUGGCAAAUCAUUUCACCAUUUUACACAGCAGAACUCAGCAUCAUGAGCUUUUCUCCUAACUUUUCAGCUAAAUCAUCUCCUGUUAAUCCCAACCUGCUGCUCCAAGCUUACACACACGAACAUGAUGUGCAGCUGAGGACUUAGCAUUGACCAAAGAAGAAAAGAGGAUUUCCAGCUGGAUCCAUGAAACCCUUCUUUUCAUCAGGGAGCACAGUGUGGUUAAUGUCAAAAGAAGCAUUCAAGUAGAUUAGCAAAGAUCUGCCUAGUAACAAAUACAUGAGUACCAUACAGUGUCCAGCAAUACCCAGCACUCUCUCCAAAUAACAAAGUUGCGGCAUGAAAUAUGAAGCUAAUGGGAAAGGAAAAGUGUGAAAACAAGCAGCACUUCAGUUAAAAAAAAAAAAAAAAAAAAAAAAAAAAAAAAAAGAUGAACUCCCAAGCCUCUACACUAUUUGUGACUAAAAGACCAGUUCAAGCAUUUUUUUUUUCCUGAAAAUGAAGUUACAGCAUGAGAUCAAGCAUUUCCCAGUAAAAUGCAGUUAAGUGGGUCAAUCUUCAGCUACACAAAACCAAAAAAGCUCUUUGAAGACUAAUUGUAACCUACAUGGGAGGCUUUCAAAGGAGAAUGAAAGUGAGAGAUACAGACUUUAUAAGUCAAAAUAAUUGGUUAAGUAUAAAAGCUCUGAUGAAACCCAAUCAUUUUAAUGGUUGCUGUAGAAGAAAGCUUUGGAGGAGGGAGAGCCAGCCAAACUCUGCAUGUGAAGUGGGGAUCAAUGUCUGCUUCAAAGCACAUGUUCCAGCUGAGUAUUUAUUACGGUCUGAGGGCAGUAUGCAUAGUGAGAGGAAAUGAAAUGAAAGAGGUGGAUUCCAAACAUAUGUAAGACUGGUCACCAACAACAUAUUUGAGAGCCCUCAUAGGAUUGACCUAUCUUACUGAGAAGAAUAUGUUUGGGGACAUAAGUACAGAAACUGUGCUGUAGAGACUGCUAUAAAAUCUCUUUUUCUCUUAAUGGUGGAAAAAGUCAAGAUCGGGUGGGGGACGGGGAGAUAAAUGGUACAAAUAGCUAAGACAGUUGGCUCACAUCCUUCUGAACUCUUGCCAUAAACAAUGUCUGGGAAUGGCCAGAGGCUCCUCCAGCAUAGAAGCUGUGCUCGUUCCAAUGGCAGAAAACUAGAAUUUCCAGUGCAAGUUCUGUGUGAAUUACAACAAGGUCAAGCCGCCCAAACCUGCACUUUUCUGAAGAUCCAGAGAGAACAGAAUUGAAAUGGCCACAUUUAAUUCCAUCGUUAUUCUUGUCCUGAGUUCUCAGUGGACACUAGAAAAAAAUGAGACAACCUGUCUGAUCUGCUGAGUCAAAAUCAGCUGGUAAAGUGGGAAAAAGCACUGGGUGGUUGAAAGAUAACAUCCCUUUUAAGCUUUACCACAUCAAGGUAGCCCUGAUUUUUCUCUGCCAUUCAGCAUAGUUCACUGCAUCUUCUAUCACCUUGCAGAAUCUGUGGUAGCACCAAAAUGACAGGCUAAUUUGCUUUUAAUAUCUUAUUUGAAAAUAAUAUGAGUACAAGUUUUCAAAAUCUUCAAUGAGGGUCCCUAGAAAUUACCAUUCAAGUAAUGUGAGAAUGGUUUUUGAAGAUAUCUGACAUUCUUUUUGUUAAAAUUACUUCAAAGUGAUAUGAAUAAUGUCUAUUCUCAAAUUGUUAAAAUAAAGAGUAACUUCAUAUGUUUCAAACUACAGAUACACACCAGGAACACUGUGAACACUAAUAGCAUUUGGAUUUUAUAAUGAUGAAUUAACAAGUAAACAGGAAACCAUCACUCUGAAAGUCUCAUGAGGCAGAUAAGGAAUGAGAGAAUUCUGGCCCGACAUAUAUCUCUUCACAUAUUUCUAUGCAUACCUAAUAAAUACACAUUACAUAAACACAUAUAUGUUUGAGUAUAUACAUAUGUGGAAAGACUUAUAGAGAUAAUUUCCAUAUUAGCUUAAAUAAUAAAUAUAAACAGUUUCAAUUUAAUGGAAUAUAAGGGUAGCACAGUUAAGCUUUAAAUAUUUAAAAUGUGUCCAAAUAAGUUUGCACAGGAAACCUUACAUUUUUCUUUUCUGUGCCAUAUGCCAAGACAAUAUUUCAUUCGAGUAUCAUACACUUAUUUUUCCCCAGAGGGUCUCUGUCUAUUUAGUGCACAGGAUGGACUGUUCUCAAUGAAAAAACACUUAAUGAAAAUAAAUCAAAAUAUUUAAAUGUUUAAA